CUUCCUGGGACAGCAGUGGUGGAAUCAGUGGGGAAGAGGGAAGCAGGGAAAAUGGACAACCCUGCUGGUAGCUUGUGAGCCCCUGUCACAGAACAGAGCUUCAACAAUUUCAAUUAAAGCACUAUGCUCGAGACCGUCAUUAGACCUGCAUUAAAUUACAUAUCUGGAAUGUUAAAAAUAAAGAGUACUGAAGCUUAUUCACAGCUGCCAGUGGUAAAAUUUUAUCAUGAGAGAGGCAUCACAAAGACUGAGUACAACAUAAUGGAAAGCCAGGAUUUGAGUGACAAAGUGACUAUGCAUAUCAUUCCACAUUUGAACUGUAAGACUUCAGUAUUUCUACCUCUAGUGUGUAAUUGGAUCAGCUGCCAGUUACAGAAAGGAGCUGGGGAGCCGUCAGAUGAAAGAAUUCUGUCGUCGAGUUUGAGGUGGGAAAAGAAGAGGAGGAGAUGGAGGAGGAGGGUAUUUUUGUUCCUGUCCUUCAUUUCCUGAUAAGGGACACUUUUGAUCCAGGAGAUGUUUUUCUUUCUUUCUCCCUUUCUCCCUCCUUUUUUUUUUUUUUUUCCUCUUUUUUUCCCCCCUUUUUGUUGGUAAUUUGGUAGUAUGAGACGCAGAUGUUUGAAAUAUUUAAGAAGUUCUCUGGUUUUGUGUUCCCAGCCUCAUUGAUGAGAAAGCUUACGCAUCAUGACAUGUUGAGCCGACGCAAUGAUUAAAGGGCUGUUGCAUAUGCUCUCCCCAGCUGAGUUGCUGUUCUCAUGGUUGUUUUUAGAGCACACAGACAGCGCCUGCAGCAGUGGCUAAUAAGGUCUUAUGCGACUCUGCUAACUUCAGGAUCUGAUCACCCCACGAGUGCGGAGUGGAGUGGAGAACCUGGUCUCAGCAGCUUGACAAAAAUACCCUCGGUGUAUUUCAGCUACAGCAGAGGGUUUGUCAUACUGGAAGGAAAUUACAUUGUGUGCAGAGGGUUGAAUGGGAAUGUGGGGUGUGCACAUGGGCAAAGCAGAGACGUGUGCUUUCAAAAAAGCAAAAUGGGAAUUGUACACAUGACUUACACCGGUGUUCGGUGGAAGAGUUACCCUCUGUGCCUUAGAAAUGCUCGCCCUUUAUUUACCAUACUUUAAGCAAGAAAGUGCACGAAGACUAAGUCUGGUUUAAAACAAAUCAUGGCUGGAGUGCUGCUGCUUUCAGAUGCUAACCUGGAGGCACUAGAUGAAAUCACACCACCACACUGCUCCUUUCACUUCAGAGCUGUCCCAACAAAUCAGCUGAUAAUACCUCUUGCUCAGAGUGAUCUAAAAUUAUAGCUUGAACUGGCAAUGGAAUAAUUAGCAGAAGACAUCUAUUACAGAAGAUGGGCUCAGUGGGGAUUAAAAUGAUGAGAACCAGAAUAACAUUCCAGUUUUCAGGAAUUCCAAAUUAUUUUUCCACUCUUUUCCACCUUGAAUACAGUUUUUGCAAAACUAACUGUGGUACCAGUAGGACCUCAGCAAUGAUUCAUCUGGCGACCCUGCACAUAGCAAGGGGGUUGAAGCUCGAUGAUCACUGUGGUCCUUUUCAACCCAGGCCAUUCUAUGGUUCUAUGAUCUGCUUCCAUAAACAUCGUUCUGCUUCUGUGCAGACAUCAGGGUGCAGUACAGGGGAGUCCGCCAGACAGUAGCGUAAGCUGAAAGAAACACAAGCAGAAAGAACAUCUUUUCUUUCUCACCAGAAAAAAAAGUAAUUUGGG
rnacentral:lncRNA from 1 species